rnacentral:tRNA from 4 species
GGAGGAUUAGCCUAAUGGUAAGGCACCGGUCUUGAAAACCGGCGUCCGUAAGGACAUGGGGGUUCGAGUCCCUCAUCCUCCG